CGAAGUUUGUACAACACUCUGUAGGUAAAAUUCAAUAAGGGCUAAGCAUUCUCUAGUAUGAUUGGCAGCUUCUCUAAAUGAGAUGCAAACCUAGAAUAGCAGAGUGGAGGACUGUAGGCCUGGCUUGUGGAGCAGGACUAGAAUAGCAAGGGAGACUUGAAGGUUAGGAUUGGGGUGCACUGUGGUGGCGACUAGCCCCUGCACUGACUAGCUCAAAUCAGCACUGCUAUUUCCUUAGUUUCAUAGUUGCUGGUCUCUGUGGCAGACUGUAAAACAACUUCUUUGACUUGCAUUAAUGGAACAUUGAUCCCCAGCCUCUUCAGGCUCCCUCCAGGAGAGGAAAGGGGCAGCUGUUAGCAACAGUGAAACCAGAAUCUGAAGCCAGAGAUGUUCUAGGGUUCUCAAGGAGGGGAAGGAAGAGCAGGUGACCCUGGUAAUGCAGACAGAGAGAGAAAGUGAGGCAUGAUGCAGGCUUGCCCACAAGGUGUCUGUUCUGCAUAUGCCAAUGGGACAGUAUAAACAUGGGGUGGAGCACGGCCCCUGGGGAGACUGCUUCCCACAGGGAGUCAGUAAGUCUCUAAAUUAAGCUGAAAAUCACUGAGAGUAGCAGAUUCCAGGGGCUGUCACUGAACGCCACCUAGGUUCCUCAAAUAAGUCUGUGUAGAUGGUACUCAGUACACUGAAAACUGGCUUGCCCAUCCUGCUUGCAUUUGCUUUUAUUUUAAACUGGGAUCCAGAAGAUGCAGCCAGGACAUAACUGGCAAAGAAGUGUCCGAGCUGCUGUCAUGUUCAGUUUCAGCCCUCCUGCAACUCAGACAGUUGCAUUUAUUUUAAGGGGCUUUGCUGCCUACAGUAGGGAUUGGUGCUUCAGGGGUGGAGAGGGUUGAUGAGCAAAUACCCAUGUUUUCAUGGCUGCAGUGCCUUUACCCUGGGUUGGGGAAGAGAUUGGGUUUCCCUUAGAGAGGUAUAUGUAAUGUCCAAGGCUGGCUGGCUGGCUGGCUGACAACCCUGCAGCUUGCCCGGUCCCCUUUUCAUCCAUCUCUUUCCCCUUUGUUUCAGGCUAACCUCUUCCCAGCAUCUGUCAUUCACUUUGGAUCUGAGGAGAACAGAGAUUGUUACUUGAGACCAGAACUGCUGGAGUCCGCAGUGUCCCCUUCCACGGCUGACUUGCUAGUAGCUAGAGGCUUGUCCAAAUCAAUAGUCCCUUCUGCUCCACCAGUUUCAGAAACAGCUGUUCCACCCCCAGUUGGGCCAGAGGAGACAGAUGGGAAAAGAACUGCAGAGAACCCAGAACCAACAAGAGCCAAUGAAACGUCACAGCCAGUGAGAAGCCCCCCUGAAAAAGUACCAAAGUGGCUGAAGCUGCCAGCUGGGAAGAGAUGAAACAUCCCAGGUGCUGGGCCUGCAAGAUUACUUGGCUGGACUGAGAAGCAGCAGAAUCAAUUGCACUUCUUUCCAUAUGAACUGCUACAAAGUUUGUAAUAAACCAUUGGUGGUCCUGGAGAGACCUGAACAACAUGAUUUAUUUCUUAAAAAAAUGAAAUAGAAUAGCUAUUUCAUGUUGCUAAUUCUGCCUUGUUGGGAGCAGACAAAGUCCCAUGUGUUGUAACACUGUCUGCCUGGCAAUAAAAGCAGGAUCAGGAGAAACUCAAGGUGUCCUGCAUGCAUGUAAUCUGAAAGGAGCAGGCAGAGAGAAUUCUUCCUAGCCAUCUCUUGACUUUGCUUCUAUAGGUGUUUGACACUCAAGUCUUCUAAUUUCUGUCUUCGGAGGUUACCUAAAGCAGUGUGGCUGCUCUGUUACCCGGAACAAGACCUUAGUGCUAAAAUCAGUUUCACCUACAGCUGUAAAGUGUUGCCCAGAGCUUGGCUUGUCCCUAUGGUGUGGCAGUGGCUGCAGCUGCUGGUUGUCCUGCAGGAGCUGUUUUGAUAACUCACAAUUUACUGAGUGGCUUUUGGUGAGAACUUCCUGCGUCACUGUACUUGUCUGUUUUCCACUGGUGAAGUCUUGUUAAUAAAGAAUGUAGGUAUCUAUUAAUGGCAUGCCCAUGGAAUAUGCCUCUGGACUGAGCUGUUUUAUUUCCAUUACACAUAAUUAACAUAAUUCAUUACUCCUCUAAUGAGAGCAAAACUCCAGUGAAAGGUCUCUUCAUUUGACUCUCCAUCUGCUGAUUUCUUUGGCUUUGAUGUUGCCUGCAAUGGAAUUGCUGUUUGCAGUAUGAGUGCUGCUCUGCUGCAUGCAUGUGCACGGUUGGGAUGCAAGUUAAGGUUUAGAAAUGUGCCUGCCACAAAGAUGAGAUCUGUAGUGCCACACUAUCCAGGCUGCUGUAUUUUAUUUGAAGUUUUUUCAUAGUCCAGUAAUUCCAGUUGGACAGAGCUACUGUGUUAUGGUAAUAAUUCUCACCAUUUGUUUUCCCUGUACAGAGUUUUUCAUUGAACUGUGUGUGUGUCUCCACAAUUUGUAGAUGUAAUAAAGCAGAGUGGCCAUAGGAGGCUUUUUGUCGG